GGGGAGCCAAUCUGAGAGAAGAACUCCAAAAGUGGCUUCAUGAAUUGAGAAACAUUGUCUUUAAAUACACACGAAGAGGGAGGAUAGGAAUUCGCAAAAACAGCUUGCGAAUGUGCAGUAGUAAUCUGAACUACAUCAGCUAAAUGAAGCUUCUUUAAGGCAUUGUAAACAUUUUUAGUCGCACCCAAAAGAGCUCCCCAGAGUUCAUAAUCAUUUCCUCCUAGAACUUCAUUCCCUACAGCAAUACCUUGAAUACUUGUUUUGGGGAGAAAUGCCUGCACAUUUUCUUUAACCCAAGCCAUGGCAUGGCUUGCAUUAGCACUCAUUUCUUUCACAUAGUCAUUUGGAAGCCCGACCACAAGCUCAAGUCCACUCCCACUAAAUGCUUUGAGAACACUAUGAUCAGCAUCAUAAAUCCGAACAUUCCUUAUCUUUGCUGCCCUAAGAAGUGUAACAACUUCAUCAGGUGAAGGGAUGUUAUCAG
rnacentral:misc_RNA from 1 species